ACAGUCACACAUUAGAUACCCCCGUAGUCCUGGCCGUAAACGAUGUGGACUUGGUGUUGGGAUGGCUCCGAGCUGCCCCAGUGCCGAAGGGAAGCUGUUAAGUCCACCUGGGAAGUACGGCCGCAAGGCUGAAACUUAAAGGAAUUGGCGGGGGAGCACCACAACGGGUGGAGCUUGCGGUUUAAUUGGAUUCAACGCCGGACAUCUCACCGGAUAAGACAGCUGAAUGAUUGUCAAUCUGAAGGUUUUACAUGACUAGCUG
rnacentral:rRNA from 1 species